rnacentral:rRNA from 1 species
CUACGGGCCGCACCAGUGAGGAAUAUUGCACAAUGGGGGGAACCCUGAUGCAGCAACGCCGCGUGGAGGAUGACGCAUUUCGGUGUGUAAACUCCCUUUAUAUGUCAAGAAAAUGACGGUAGCAUAUGAAUAAGCAUCGGCUAACUCCGUGCCAGCAGCCGCGGUAAUACGGAGGGUGCAAGCGUUACUCGGAAUCACUGGGCGUAAAGGACGCGUAGGCGGGUUGGAAAGUCAGGUGUGAAAUCCUACAGCUUAACUGUAGAACUGCACUUGAAACUUCUAAUCUAGAGUAUGGGAGGGGGAGAUGGAAUUAGUGGUGUAGGGGUAAAUCCGUAGAUAUCACUAGGAAUACCUAAAGCGAAGGCGAUCUCCUGGAACAUUACUGACGCUAAGGCGUGAAAGCGUGGGGAGCAAACAGGAUUAGAUACCCCUGUAGUC